AACGAACGCUGGCGGCAGGCCUAACACAUGCAAGUCGAGCGAGGACUUCGGUCCUAGCGGCGGACGGGUGAGUAACGCGUGGGAACGUGCCCUUUGCUUCGGAAUAGCCCUGGGAAACUGGGAGUAAUACCGGAUGAGCCCUUUGGGGGAAAGAUUUAUCGGCGAAGGAUCGGCCCGCGUUGGAUUAGGUAGUUGGUGGGGUAAUGGCCUACCAAGCCGACGAUCCAUAGCUGGUUUGAGAGGAUGAUCAGCCACACUGGGACUGAGACACGGCCCAGACUCCUGCGAGAGGCAGCAGUGGGGAAUCAUAGACAAUGGGGGAAACCCUGAUCCAGCCAUGCCGCGUGAACGAUGAAGGCCUUAUGGUUGUAAAGCUCUUUCAGCUGGGAAGAUAGUGACGGUACCAGCAGAAGAAGCCCCGGCUAACUCCGUG
rnacentral:rRNA from 1 species